rnacentral:rRNA from 1 species
GCCCUGGAACAGGGUUAUCCGAUUCGUCGGAACAGAGUGACAGGUGCUGCAUGGCUGUCGUCAGCUCGUGUCGUGAGAUGUUGGGUUAAGUCCCGCAACGAGCGCAACCCUUGUCUCUAGUUGCCAGUAUUAAGUUAGGGACUCUAGAGAGACUGCCUCGGUUAACGGGAGGAAGGUGGGGAUGACGUCAAGUCCUCAUGGCCUUUAUACCCAGGGCUACACACGUGCUACAAUGGGCUGCACAAAGGGUCGCUAGCUCGCGAGAGUGCGCUAAUCCCAAAAAGCAGUUCUCAGUUCGGAUUGGAGUCUGCAACUCGACUCCAUGAAGUUGGAAUCGCUAGUAAUCGUGGAUCAGCACGCCACGGUGAAUACGUUCCCGGGCCUU